AACGAACGCUGGCGGCGUGGAUUAGGCAUGCAAGUCGAGCGCGAUGUGUUUUUACACGGAAAGCGGCGAAAGGGAGAGUAACGCGUAGAAUACCUACCCCCGGGACCGGGAUAGCGUCGGGAAACUGACGGUAAUACCGGAUAAUGUCUCCGGACCAAAUGGUGUGAUUCCACCUGGGGAUGGUUCUGCGUCCUAUUAGCUAGUUGGCGGGGUAAUGGCCCACCAAGGCGACGAUGGGUAGCGGGCGUGAGAGCGUGGCCCGCCUCACUGGGACUGAGACACUGCCCAGACACCUACGGGUGGCUGCAGUCGAGAAUCUUCGGCAAUGGGCGAAAGCCUGACCGAGCGACGCCGCGUGCGGGAUGAAGGCCUUCGGGUUGUAAACCGCUGUUGUUGGGGAUGAAAUCUUGGGAGGUUCUCCUCUCAAGUUGACAGAUCCAAUGAGGAAGUCCGGGCUAAGUUCGUGCCAGCCGCCGCGGUAA
rnacentral:rRNA from 1 species